rnacentral:rRNA from 1 species
CACGUAGGGUGCAAGCGUUGUCCGGAAUUAUUGGGCGUAAAGAGCGUGUAGGCGGCCUGACAGGUCUGCUGUGAAAACUCGAGGCUCAACCUCGAGAUGUCGGCGGAAACCGUCUGGCUAGAGUCCGGAAGAGGAGAGUGGAAUUCCUGGUGUAGCGGUGAAAUGCGCAGAUAUCAGGAAGAACACCUAUGGCGAAGGCAGCUCUCUGGGACGGUACUGACGCUGAGACGCGAAAGCGUGGGGAGCGAACAGG